AUUGAACGCUGGCGGCAGGCCUAACACAUGCAAGUCGAGCGGAGCGGCAGAGGCGUGAGUAAGGCCUAGGAAUGUGCCUGGGAGUGAGGGAUGAGGUCCAGAACUGGGCGCUAAUACUGCAUACUUUCAGAUGCGGAUAGGUCGGAUUAGGUAGUUGGUGGGGUAAAGGCCUACCAAGGCGACGACCCGUAACUGGUCUGAGAGGAUGAUCAGUCACACUGGAACUGAGACACGGUCCAGACUCCUACGGGAGGCAGCAGUGGGGAAUAUUGGACAAUGGGCGCAAGCCUGAUCCAGCCAUGCCGCGUGUGUGAAGAAGGUCUUCGGAUUGUAAAGUACUUUAAGUUGGGAGGCGUUACCAACAGAAUAAGCACCGGCUAACUUCGUGCCAGCAGCCGCGGUAAUUC
rnacentral:rRNA from 1 species